GGCACGAUGACGGAGUGGUUAACGUGCCAGGCUGCUAACCUGGUUCCUUCGGGAGCGCAAGUUCGAAUCUUGCUCGUGUCG
rnacentral:tRNA from 1 species